CCUACGGGAGGCUGCAGUGGGGAAUAUUGGACAAUGGGCGAAAGCCUGAUCCAGCCAUGCCGCGUGUGUGAAGAAGGCCUUCGGGUUGUAAAGCACUUUCAGUGGGGAAGAAAGCCUUGGGGCUAAUACCCUCGAGGAAGGACAUCACCCACAGAAGAAGCACCGGCUAACUCCGUGCCAGCAGCCGCGGUAAUACGGAGGGUGCGAGCGUUAAUCGGAAUUACUGGGCGUAAAGCGCGCGUAGGCGGUCUGAUAAGCCGGUUGUGAAAGCCCCGGGCUCAACCUGGGAACGGCAUCCGGAACUGUCAGGCUAGAGGGCAGGAGAGGAAGGUAGAAUUCCCGGUGUAGCAGUGAAAUGCGUAGAGAUCGGGAGGAAUACCAGUGGCGAAGGCGGCCUUCUGGACUGACACUGACGCUGAGGUGCGAAAGCGUGGGUAGCAAACAGGAUUAGAUACCCCUGUAGUC
rnacentral:rRNA from 1 species